rnacentral:lncRNA from 1 species
GCAUUUUGCAAGAUAAUUCCUACAUAUAUGCUAAGAAACAGAUGAUAAACAUAGGGUCCAAUUUUCAUUUCUCAAGCAGUCAUGUUACUGAUUUGAAACUUUCAAACUGAGCUGUGUUCGGAAUUAUCAUCUUAAACUUGAUCAGAGUUAAAAGCAUAUGUCUGAAACUUUUAAACAUACAUCAAAUGAUUUAAAGAAUUAACUUCCCCUAGAAAAUGAGCCUCACUAUUAGAUAUGUGCCUUGAAGCUAUGUAUGGGCCCAAAUACUGAUUUAAUCUAAUGAAGACAAGUUAUAAAAAUAACCACAGCAAAGGUGGUUGCUCUGCCUCCAUUUAUGUGUUUCAACAGAGGAGACCUCUGUAGGGCUGCCUAUGUGCUUCCUAAGGCACCGUCUAUAGAUAAACAGGAGACUUUGUUCCCUGGGUCUUUUCAUUCAGAGCCUUUCACAAGCUGUGAAUUCCCUCUAAAAGCACCUAUCAGCAUGAAUAAACUGAUAAAAGCAGACGUGUGAAAUGCCUUUCACUUAACUAACAGGCAUGACUCCAAAUUCUAGAACCCCCACUGCUUUCAUCUGAAACCCUAACCCACGACGAUAGUAAACAUGAUGUGACAGAAAGUCCUGCACUCUUGUUACACGAUCUUCGGGCCACUGUCAAGUGAUCGUUAAGGACAAGCUUUGGCAGACAUGAUCCAUUCCUGUAUAGUCUUUCCAGCAUCUUCCGUGAGUGUGGCAUUCCAUUUUAUAAAAAAAAAAUUAAUAAAUCCAGUCAGCCUUCCCAGAACAUUUAUUCAUUUGUUCAUUCAGGAGCUGCCACCCUGGGGAAUGAGAGGGGGAUAAGUUACGCCCCCUGCUUUCAAGGCCUGGUAAAGACAUCAGGCCUGGGAGUUCCCACUGUGGCAACCAGCUGGACUCGUAUCCACGAGGAUGCGGGUUCGAUUCCCGGCCUCGCUCAGUGGGUUAAGGAUCCGGCAUUGCUGUGAGCUAUGGUUGUAGGUCGCAGAUGUGGUGUGGAUCCUGCGUUGCUGUGGCUGUGACACAGGUCAGCAGCUGCAGUGCCGAUUCAACUCCCAGCCUGAGAACUCCCAUAUGCGAGAAUAAAAGCAUUAGUAAAAUAUAGAAUUUGAGAAUAAACAAAAAAGCUUAUUGAAAAGAAUUUACCUAGACCCCUGCAGAGAAAAUAUGCAUUUUUUCCUCAAGCACACAUGGGAAAUGUUUUCAUUUUCGAACUAGUUCAUAAGUCUCAAUUUCGGAGAAUUAUGUCACAAAGAAAAAUAACACUAACACAAAGGUAAAUUUAAAAAUCCCCAUAUAUUUUGGGAAAUCAGACAUUUCUACAUCACUUAUAAAAACAGAAGUAAAAUAAUAAAGCAAAUACAUAUGAGCACUUGUAACAUUCAAUGUAACAUUUCAAUUAUUAGAUCCUCAGUUUACAAGAAAACUAGGGUAUCUUAACAAAUGUAUGAUAUGGAAAGAAAAGAGCCAAAAAUUGGUGUCCCAAGAAAACUAGUAAAACAGAUAAUCCUCUAGUGAGAAUGGCAACUGCAAACAGAAAGAACAUAGAAGUCAUCCUCAGCGUUCAUGAAAAGGGAGCGAUUACCACAGAUGAAGAGACUAGAAGGAUGAUGAGACUUACAGACAGAUCUGCAUCAACUAAUCAGAAGACUAAAUGGACAAGUUAUUCGAUACAUUAUUUUCAAAAUGGAUUCAAGGAGAAACAAAGCCUAUUUCUACCUUAUUUUUAAAACUGUUCCAUAAGCAGUUUAAAAUCUUUCCACAAGAAAAAGCAUUUGGCCUAAAUCGUUUCAUAGAACUUUUCCAUAUUGUUCUACUUUUAUAUAAAUCCUUCCAGAAAAUAGAAGUCACUCUCCAACCCAUAUCCUUAAGUUUGCAUCUGCAGCUUUGACCUUGGAGCAAACAAGGACAGGGCAUGGUGGAAGUUCAGAGCAAUCUCACUGAGGAAGGCAGAAGCAAAAUUCCUAAAUAAUGUAUGAGCAAACCAAACUGAGCUAUGAAAUUAGAAGAAAAAAAAAAAAAGACAGCCAAAUUGGGUUUAUACUAGGAAAGCAGGGAGGGAGGUCUUAAAUAAAGAUGUUUUUAAUGAUUCAUGUUAAAAGAUCAAACACACUUUGAUGCUCAUAUGGUUUAAGCAUCUCAAUAGAUGAAGAAAAUGUAUUUGAUAAAAAAAUCCAUCCUUGACACAAAGUAGUUAUCAAACAAGAAAUAAGAGCUCCCACAAGAUAAAGGCAUCCACCAAAAUACCUAGAGCAAAUGUAAUUCCCAAUGAUAAUCAUUUUGAAGCAUUCCCUUUAAAGUUGGGUUUCAAAUGACAUUAAGACUUGCGUAAAUUAGAACUCACAAGAAUAGGAAGACAUAAACCGAGAGAUGAUAUUUGCAAUACACAAAACCAAAAAUACAGAUUAGUUUCUGUAACACAGAAGAGAAUCCAAGAUAUCACUAAGAAAAGCAAACAACUGUAUGGAAAUCCAAUAGCAAUGGACACGAACAGCCAUCCAUACAAACGACCCGAAAACAUAAGAAUUCUCCACCACCUUGGUAAUCAUUGAAACGUAAAGAUGACAGGAUACUGUCUCACACCCCUCAGAGAGCAAAAAUCAUGACGUCUGACAGUCUUAAGUCUAGGAGUACAGGCAUCGGUGGCAAUACUAACAGUGUUGAAAGCAGGAUUUAGCAUCACUUUUAAAUGUUAAGCUUUUAACAUUUACCUACCCUGCAGCCCAGGCAAUUUUUCAGAGAGAGAACCCCUUGCAGUGCAUUCGAGACAGGUGCUGCGACAGCAAAGAGAAGGUCAAACAACCCAAAUGUCUUUCAGCACCUCAAUGGAUAAGCUGAAGUGUGUCCACAUGCUAUGAAGUAUUACAUAAUGAAAAGAAACUCAUUUAACGAAAUUUUUCUCCUCCUGAAAGUGCUAGCUUUGACCCAUCAGUGCAGAACAGAUGCUCAGCAGGUGAGCGCGGACCAUGGGCGGCACCGUGGGAUGAUCUGGGAACUCAUUAAAAAACGCGAAACCCCUGGCUCCAUCUCAGAUGUACCGGGUCAUCGUCUACAUGUUAACAAGAUUGCACUCAUGCUAAAAUUUGAGCGAGUACUGCCCUCCAGGAGCUGUAUUCAUUAUUCGCUGGAUCAUCUGCUACUUAGAUCCUCUAUGACGUCCAAAUAUUGCUUUCGGCCACUCUAGCAUUCAAAUACACGUAAAUGGGUUUCUACUCUGUGCCAGGCAUCCGACUAACGGCUAAAGAUACAAACAAAAUACUCUGGAGCUUUAGCAUCGAAGAGCUCAGACUUAUACACACAUACACACACGCACUUGCAAGAAGAGUGACAUAACCUGGUGUGACCAAAUUGGUUUCAAUUACACUUUUCAUAACAUAUGGUACUUUACAUCCUGUUCAUAUAAUUAUGUGCACACACCCACUUUAUUCUCCUCCUAUGUUCUGACGAUGAAUACUGACACUCCCUUCCAGUAAUACAAAACACAUUUACUCAGUUUGUGCCACACCAGCAAAAAACCGAAGAGCUUCGGUGAUAACUUCACUUACCUUUUGCACCUAAACUUGGAAUAGAGCACAAUUUUUCACUGGAUCCUCUGGCUGGCCCUGAUCCAUUCAGCCUUUGAGUGGAUUCCAGGACGACUAGCGCAGGCACUAAUUCAGGCAGUUUUUGAAAGGGGCCAGUAAUACUCCUAGCAUAAAUUCUACUAUGCGAUAUGAUGUCUCUUCCCAUCCCGAAGCAAAAUGCAUAAUGUGCUCUACUUGCACAUAUGUUACUCUUGUAAGUGUCCGUGAUGUUUUCAUUUUUCAUAGAAGCAUGCUGGCUCUAGGUUACAAAUCCCCACCCACACAGGUGUGUUACCUUAGACUCAGGUCCCGUGACUCCUGUUACCACCUCUGCCUUGGACAGCAAAUGGCUCUCAGGGAGCUUUCGAACCAAGAAAUGCAAAUACACCUCCUUUUACACAGAGUUGAAUUCCUAGAAAAUCCACUAUUCAAGCCACACGAAAAACACAAGCUAUACAA